rnacentral:rRNA from 1 species
ACAGCAGCCGCCACGGUAAUACGUAGGUGGCAAGCGUUGUCCGGAAUUAUUGGGCGUAAAGGGCUCGCAGGCGGUUUCUUAAGUCUGAUGUGAAAGCCCCCGGCUCAACCGGGGAGGGUCAUUGGAAACUGGGAAACUUGAGUGCAGAAGAGGAGAGUGGAAUUCCACGUGUAGCGGUGAAAUGCGUAGAGAUGUGGAGGAACACCAGUGGCGAAGGCGACUCUCUGGUCUGUAACUGACGCUGAGGAGCGAAAGCGUGGGGAGCGAACGGGAUUAGAUACCCCGGUAGUCCCUGUCUCUUAUAC